rfam:Onchocerca ochengi, WGS project CAWC01000000 data, contig: 04112_5936
GGGAAUUUUCCACGGGAUCACUCGCUAAAGACCCGAUUUAUUCGAUUCUUGAGAGUAGAAGUUCGAAGCGAUUCUGACAUGCAAGUCGAUCGUCUGAUUUUGGUAUAAGGGCGAAAGACUAUCGAACUAUCUAGAGCUGGUUCCUUCCGAAGUUUCUCUGAGGAUAGCUGAAAGUACGUAAUGAAGCUGUUAUAUUCGAUAAAGCGCUUGAUUAGAAGAAUUGUGGAACAAAACGUCUUCAAUCUAUUUCCAAAUUCUCAAUGAGUACGAUGUUUUGCUUGCUUGAAUGACACGUUGACAUUGAAUGUGUGCUCCAAAUGGGUCAGUUUCUGGUAAACAGAACUGGUACACUGUGGGAUGAGCCAAACGUUAAGAUAUACUAUAAGUUUUCCGCUCAAGUACCAUCCAUUUUCAGGCCUAAUUGGUCUAUUCGUCGCAUUGUCUAAUUCUCAUAACAAACCUACUGAUAUUAAAUUUUUUGUUAAUCAGUAAAAUUUUUAUCC